rfam:Ovis aries breed Texel chromosome 5, whole genome shotgun sequence.
UCCCUGGUAGCUCAGAUGGUAAAGAAUCUGCCUGCAAUGCGGGAGACUCAGGUUUGAUACCUGGGUCAGGGAA